GAAACAUCUUAGUACCCGGAGGAAGAGAAAGAAAAUUCGAUUCCCUUAGUAGCGGCGAGCGAAACGGGAAGAGCCCAAACCAACAAGCUUGCUUGUUGGGGUUGUAGGACACUCUAUACGGAGUUACAAAGGACGACAUUAGACGAAUCAUCUGGAAAGAUGAAUCAAAGAAGGUAAUAAUCCUGUAGUCGAAAAUGUUGUCUCUCUUGAGUGGAUCCUGAGUACGACGGAGCACGUGAAAUUCCGUCGGAAUCUGGGAGGACCAUCUCCUAAGGCUAAAUACUCUCUAGUGACCGAUAGUGAACCAGUACCGUGAGGGAAAGGUGAAAAGCACCCCGGAAGGGGAGUGAAAUAGAACCUGAAACCGUGUGCUUACAAGUAGUCAGAGCCCGUUAAUGGGUGAUGGCGUGCCUUUUGUAGAAUGAACCGGCGAGUUACGAUUUGAUGCAAGGUUAAGCAGUAAAUGUGGAGCCGUAGCGAAAGCGAGUCUGAAUAGGGCGUUUAGUAUUUGGUCGUAGACCCGAAACCAGGUGAUCUACCCUUGGUCAGGUUGAAGUUCAGGUAACACUGAAUGGAGGACCGAACCGACUUACGUUGAAAAGUGAGCGGAUGAACUGAGGGUAGCGGAGAAAUUCCAAUCGAACCUGGAGAUAGCUGGUUCUCUCCGAAAUAGCUUUAGGGCUAGCCUCAAGUGAUGAUUAUUGGAGGUAGAGCACUGUUUGGACGAGGGGCCCCUCUCGGGUUACCGAAUUCAGACAAACUCCGAAUGCCAAUUAAUUUAACUUGGGAGUCAGAACAUGGGUGAUAAGGUCCGUGUUCGAAAGGGAAACAGCCCAGACCACCAGCUAAGGUCCCAAAAUAUAUGUUAAGUGGAAAAGGAUGUGGCGUUGCCCAGACAACUAGGAUGUUGGCUUAGAAGCAGCCAUCAUUUAAAGAGUGCGUAAUAGCUCACUAGUCGAGUGACACUGCGCCGAAAAUGUACCGGGGCUAAACAUAUUACCGAAGCUGUGGAUUGUCCUUUGGACAAUGGUAGGAGAGCGUUCUAAGGGCGUUGAAGCAUGAUCGUAAGGACAUGUGGAGCGCUUAGAAGUGAGAAUGCCGGUGUGAGUAGCGAAAGACGGGUGAGAAUCCCGUCCACCGAUUGACUAAGGUUUCCAGAGGAAGGCUCGUCCGCUCUGGGUUAGUCGGGUCCUAAGCUGAGGCCGACAGGCGUAGGCGAUGGAUAACAGGUUGAUAUUCCUGUACCACCUAUAAUCGUUUUAAUCGAUGGGGGGACGCAGUAGGAUAGGCGAAGCGUGCGAUUGGAUUGCACGUCUAAGCAGUAAGGCUGAGUAUUAGGCAAAUCCGGUACUCGUUAAGGCUGAGCUGUGAUGGGGAGAAGACAUUGUGUCUUCGAGUCGUUGAUUUCACACUGCCGAGAAAAGCCUCUAGAUAGAAAAUAGGUGCCCGUACCGCAAACCGACACAGGUAGUCAAGAUGAGAAUUCUAAGGUGAGCGAGCGAACUCUCGUUAAGGAACUCGGCAAAAUGACCCCGUAACUUCGGGAGAAGGGGUGCUCUUUAGGGUUAACGCCCAGAAGAGCCGCAGUGAAUAGGCCCAAGCGACUGUUUAUCAAAAACACAGGUCUCUGCUAAACCGUAAGGUGAUGUAUAGGGGCUGACGCCUGCCCGGUGCUGGAAGGUUAAGAGGAGUGGUUAGCUUCUGCGAAGCUACGAAUCGAAGCCCCAGUAAACGGCGGCCGUAACUAUAACGGUCCUAAGGUAGCGAAAUUCCUUGUCGGGUAAGUUCCGACCCGCACGAAAGGCGUAACGAUUUGGGCACUGUCUCAACGAGAGACUCGGUGAAAUCAUAGUACCUGUGAAGAUGCAGGUUACCCGCGACAGGACGGAAAGACCCCGUGGAGCUUUACUGUAGCCUGAUAUUGAAAUUCGGCACAGCUUGUACAGGAUAGGUAGGAGCCUUUGAAACGUGAGCGCUAGCUUACGUGGAGGCGCUGGUGGGAUACUACCCUAGCUGUGUUGGCUUUCUAACCCGCACCACUUAUCGUGGUGGGAGACAGUGUCAGGCGGGCAGUUUGACUGGGGCGGUCGCCUCCUAAAAGGUAACGGAGGCGCUCAAAGGUUCCCUCAGAAUGGUUGGAAAUCAUUCAUAGAGUGUAAAGGCAUAAGGGAGCUUGACUGCGAGACCUACAAGUCGAGCAGGGUCGAAAGACGGACUUAGUGAUCCGGUGGUUCCGCAUGGAAGGGCCAUCGCUCAACGGAUAAAAGCUACCCCGGGGAUAACAGGCUUAUCUCCCCCAAGAGUUCACAUCGACGGGGAGGUUUGGCACCUCGAUGUCGGCUCAUCGCAUCCUGGGGCUGUAGUCGGUCCCAAGGGUUGGGCUGUUCGCCCAUUAAAGCGGUACGCGAGCUGGGUUCAG
rnacentral:rRNA from 1 species